rnacentral:rRNA from 1 species
AUGCAAGUCGAACGGUAACAGCAGUGCUUGCACUGGCUGACGAGUGGCGAACGGGUGAGUAAUGUAUAGUUAAUUUGCCUCUUGGAGAGGGAUAGCCAUUGGAAACGAUGAUUAAUACCUCAUACUCCUUACAUAGUAAAUAUGUAAGGGAAAUGCUUUUGUGCCAAGAGAUAAGACUAUAUCCUAUCAGCUAGUUGGUGGUGUAACGGACCACCAAGGCGAUGACGGGUAGCUGGUUUGAGAGGAUGAUCAGCCACACUGGAACUGAGACACGGUCCAGACUCCUACGGGAGGCAGCAGUGGGGAAUAUUGCACAAUGGAGGAAACUCUGAUGCAGCAACGCCGCGUGGAGGAUGACGCAUUUCGGUGUGUAAACUCCUUUUAUAUAGGAAGAUAAUGACGGUACUAUAUGAAUAAGCACCGGCUAACUCCGUGCCAGCAGCCGCGGUAAUACGGAGGGUGCAAGCGUUACUCGGAAUCACUGGGCGUAAAGCGCAUGCAGGCGGUCCAAUAAGUUAGAAGUGAAAUCCUAUGGCUCAACCAUAGAACUGCCUCUAAAACUAUUAGACUAGAGUCUGGGAGGGGAAGAUGGAAUUAGUAGUGUAGGGGUAAAAUCCGUAGAGAUUACUAGGAAUACCAAAAGCGAAGGCGAUCUUCUGGAACAGUACUGACGCUGAGAUGCGAAAGCGUGGGGAGCAAACAGGAUUAGAUACCCUGGUAGUCCACGCAGUAAACGAUGAAUGUUAGUCGUUGGGUCUCUAGUAGAUUCAGUGAUGCAGUUAACACAUUAAACAUUCCGCCUGGGGGAGUACGGUCGCAAGAUUAAAACUCAAAGGAAUAGACGGGGACCCGCACAAGUGGUGGGAGCAUGUGGUUUAAUUCGAAGAUACGCGGAAGAACCUUACCUAGCCUUGACAUUGAGAGAAUCCCGACAGAGAUGUUGGAGUGCCUUUCGGGAGCUUGGAAAACAGGUGCUGCACGGGCUGUCGUCAGCUUCGUGGUCCGUGAGAUGGUUGGGUUAAGUCCCGCACCGAAGCGCAACCUUCG